GUCUCAGUAGCUCAAUGGAUAGAGCAGUCCCGUCCUAAGGGAAAGGUUGUGAGUUCAACUCUCGCCUGAGACA
rnacentral:tRNA from 2 species